AUUAGCAACACCGCACCAAACACAAACAAUAUGGGGGGAAGUAGACGUGUAAAUGUUAAAAAUAUGUUUCAUAUUGGAAUUUAUUUCAUUGUGUUUGUCUCUACUAAUUACAUUGAAGCUUCAGGAACAGAUGGUAACAUAGACUUCUCUAAGUAUCAUCAUUAUGAUGACUUGUCAAAGUUCAUGCACGACAUGGAGAAGAAAUAUCCCGAAAUUUCUAAACUGCAUACCAUUGGCAAAAGUGUAAAAAACAGGGAUUUGUUAGCCCUUCAGAUCACAGACAACGUAGAAGGAGUUGAGCCUGGAGAGCCCAUGUUUAAAUAUGUUGGUAAUAUGCACGGCAAUGAGGCGGUUGGACGAGAAAUCCUUAUCUAUCUAAUUCAAUACCUAUUGGAGAAUUAUGAAAAAGAUGAUAGAGUGACUUCUCUAAUUAAAAACACCAACAUUUAUAUCAUGCCUACUAUGAAUCCUGAUGGUUUUGAAAAUGCUAGAGAAGGUGAAUGCGGUGGAGAAAAGGGACGAGGAAAUGCAAACUUGGUCGACCUAAACCGAAAUUUCCCAGACCAGUAUUCGGGAGCCCCUAGACAUGAAAUUCAGCCUGAAACUCAAGCUAUAAUCAAUUGGAUUGAAGGACAAAAGUUUGUACUUUCAGCCAAUCUACAUGGUGGAAGUGUUGUUGCAAGUUACCCCUUUGAUGAUUCUGCUUCCCAUAAAUCUGAAGGAACAUACAGUGCUGCCCCUGAUGAUGCAGUGUUCAAGCAGCUUGCCCAUGUGUAUGCUAACAACCACAAGACUAUGAAAUCAGGUGACCACUGUGGAGAUAGGUUCCAAGAUGGUAUCACUAAUGGUGCACACUGGUAUGAUGUUCCAGGUGGAAUGGAGGAUUACAAUUACCUCCACAGUAACUGUAUGGAGAUUACCAUUGAGUUGUCGUGUUGUAAAUAUCCCAAGGCCACACAACUGAAAACUGAGUGGUUCAACAAUAAAGAAUCUCUCUUGGCCUACAUGGAAGAGGUACACAAAGGUGUGAAAGGCUUUGUUAAGGAUGGGGAGACAAACAAUGGAAUAAGGAAUGCUGUCAUUGUGGUGGAAGGAAUCCAACAUAACAUCACCACAUCCUUCUUUGGAGAUUACUGGCGACUUCUAGUGCCAGGGACCUACAAGAUGACAGCUCUUGCUGAGGGCUUUCAACCACAGACGCAAGAUGUGACAGUGACGUUAGGACCAGCUGUUGAUUUGAACUUUAACCUUGUCAAACAGGGAUCAAAAGGGGCCAGGGUAAAAUGAUCUUGAGUUGGAUGCAAUCGCAAGUCAGAUGCCAACUUUGUUCAACAAUUAUUCUGGCAUUGUUAAUUGUAUUAAUAAACUUUCAACAGAU
rnacentral:misc_RNA from 1 species